rnacentral:rRNA from 2 species
ACGGAAGGCAGCAGUGGGGAAUAUUGGACAAUGGGGGAAACCCUGAUCCAGCGACGCCGCGUGAGUGAAGAAGUAUUUCGGUAUGUAAAGCUCUAUCAGCAAGGAAGAAAAUGACGGUACCUGACUAAGAAGCCCCGGCUAACUACGUGCCAGCAGCCGCGGUAAUACGUAGGGGGCAAGCGUUAUCCGGAUUUACUGGGUGUAAAGGGAGCGCAGACGGCAAAGCAAGUCUGAAGUGAAAGCCCGGGGCUCAACCCCGGGACUGCUUUGGAAACUGUUUAGCUAGAGUACUGGAGAGGUAAGCGGAAUUCCUAGUGUAGCGGUGAAAUGCGUAGAUAUUAGGAAGAACACCAGUGGCGAAGGCGGCUUACUGGACAGCAACUGACGUUGAGGCUCGAAAGCGUGGGGAGCAAACAGGAUUAGAUACCCUGGUA